GGUUAAGUGACUAAGCGUACACGGUGGAUGCCUAGGCAGUCAGAGGCGAUGAAGGGCGUGCUAAUCUGCGAAAAGCGUCGGUAAGGUGAUAUGAACCGUUACAACCGGCGAUACCCGAAUGGGGAAACCCAGUGUGUUUCGACACACUAUCAUGUCAUGAAUACAUAGUGGCAUGAGGCGAACCGGGGGAACUGAAACAUCUAAGUACCCCGAGGAAAAGAAAUCAACCGAGAUUCCCCCAGUAGCGGCGAGCGAACGGGGAGGAGCCCAGAACCUGAAUCGGCUUGUGUGUUAGUGGAAGCGUCUGGAAAGUCGCGCAGCAAAGGGUGAUAGCCCCGUACACUAAAAUGCACAGGUCGUGAGUUCGAUGAGUAGGGCGGGACACGUGACAUCCUGUCUGAAUAUGGGGGGACCAUCCUCCAAGGCUAAAUACUCCUGACUGACCGAUAGUGAACCAGUACCGUGAGGGAAAGGCGAAAAGAACCCCGGCGAGGGGAGUGAAAUAGAACCUGAAACCGUGUACGUACAAGCAGUGGGAGCACCUUCGUGGUGUGACUGCGUACCUUUUGUAUAAUGGGUCAGCGACUUAUAUUUUGUAGCAAGGUUAACCGUAUAGGGGAGCCGUAGGGAAACCGAGUCUUAACUGGGCGAAUAGUUGCAAGGUAUAGACCCGAAACCCGGUGAUCUAGCCAUGGGCAGGUUGAAGGUUGGGUAACACUAACUGGAGGACCGAACCGACUAAUGUUGAAAAAUUAGCGGAUGACUUGUGGCUGGGGGUGAAAGGCCAAUCAAACCGGGAGAUAGCUGGUUCUCCCCGAAAGCUAUUUAGGUAGCGCCUCGUGAACUCAUCUUCGGGGGUAGAGCACUGUUUCGGCUAGGGGGCCAUCCCGGCUUACCAAACCGAUGCAAACUCCGAAUACCGAAGAAUGUUAUCACGGGAGACACACGGCGGGUGCUAACGUCCGUCGUGAAGAGGGAAACAACCCAGACCGCCAGCUAAGGUCCCAAAGUCAUGGUUAAGUGGGAAACGAUGUGGGAAGGCAUAGACAGCCAGGAUGUUGGCUUAGAAGCAGCCAUCAUUUAAAGAAAGCGUAAUAGCUCACUGGUCGAGUCGGCCUGCGCGGAAGAUGUAACGGGGCUAAACCAUGCACCGAAGCUGCGGCAGCGACGCUUAGGCGUUGUUGGGUAGGGGAGCGUUCUGUAAGCCGUUGAAGGUGGCCUGUGAGGGUUGCUGGAGGUAUCAGAAGUGCGAAUGCUGACAUAAGUAACGAUAAAGCGGGUGAAAAGCCCGCUCGCCGGAAGACCAAGGGUUCCUGUCCAACGUUAAUCGGGGCAGGGUGAGUCGACCCCUAAGGCGAGGCUGAAAAGCGUAGUCGAUGGGAAACAGGUUAAUAUUCCUGUACUUGGUGUUACUGCGAAGGGGGGACGGAGAAGGCUAGGCUAGCCGGGCGACGGUUGUCCCGGUUUAAGCGUGUAGGGGGUGUGACCUGGUAAAUCCGGUUGCAUAUCAACCCUGAGGCGUGAUGACGAUGCACUACGGUGCAGAAGUAGUUGAUGCCCUGCUUCCAGGAAAAGCCUCUAAGCUCCAGGUAACAUUGAAUCGUACCCCAAACCGACACAGGUGGUCAGGUAGAGAAUACCAAGGCGCUUGAGAGAACUCGGGUGAAGGAACUAGGCAAAAUGGUGCCGUAACUUCGGGAGAAGGCACGCUGGCAUGUAGGUGAAGUCCCUUGCGGAUGGAGCUGAAGCCAGUCGAAGAUACCAGCUGGCUGCAACUGUUUAAUAAAAACACAGCACUGUGCAAACACGAAAGUGGACGUAUACGGUGUGACGCCUGCCCGGUGCUGGAAGGUUAAUUGAUGGGGUCAGCCGCAAGGCGAAGCUCUUGAUCGAAGCCCCAGUAAACGGCGGCCGUAACUAUAACGGUCCUAAGGUAGCGAAAUUCCUUGUCGGGUAAGUUCCGACCUGCACGAAUGGCGUAAUGAUGGCCAGGCUGUCUCCACCCGAGACUCAGUGAAAUUGAACUCGCUGUGAAGAUGCAGUGUACCCGCGGCAAGACGGAAAGACCCCGUGAACCUUUACUAUAGCUUGACACUGAACAUUGAGCCUUGAUGUGUAGGAUAGGUGGGAGGCUUUGAAGCGUGGACGCCAGUCUGCGUGGAGCCAUCCUUGAAAUACCACCCUUUAAUGUUUGAUGUUCUAACUCGGCCCCAUAAUCUGGGGUGAGGACAGUGUCUGGUGGGUAGUUUGACUGGGGCGGUCUCCUCCCAAAGAGUAACGGAGGAGCACGAAGGUUAGCUAAUCACGGUCGGACAUCGUGAGGUUAGUGCAAAGGCAUAAGCUAGCUUGACUGCGAGAGUGACGGCUCGAGCAGGUACGAAAGUAGGUCUUAGUGAUCCGGUGGUUCUGAAUGGAAGGGCCAUCGCUCAACGGAUAAAAGGUACUCCGGGGAUAACAGGCUGAUACCGCCCAAGAGUUCAUAUCGACGGCGGUGUUUGGCACCUCGAUGUCGGCUCAUCACAUCCUGGGGCUGAAGUAGGUCCCAAGGGUAUGGCUGUUCGCCAUUUAAAGUGGUACGCGAGCUGGGUUUAGAACGUCGUGAGACAGUUCGGUCCCUAUCUGCCGUGGGCGUUGGAAGAUUGAGAGGGGUUGCUCCUAGUACGAGAGGACCGGAGUGAACGCACCACUGGUGUUCGGGUUGUCAUGCCAAUGGCAUUGCCCGGUAGCUAAGUGCGGAAAAGAUAAGCGCUGAAAGCAUCUAAGCGCGAAACUUGCCUCAAGAUGAGUCUUCCCUGGGCCUUUAAGGUCCCUGAAGGAACGUUUAAGACUAAGACGUUGAUAGGCUGGGUGUGUAAGUGCAGCGAUGCAUUGAGCUAACCAGUACUAAUGAUCCGUGAGGCUUAACCUU
rnacentral:rRNA from 2 species